GGUUAAGUUAACAAGGGCGCAUGGUGAAUGCCUUGGCACUAGGAGCCGAUGAAGGACGGGACUAACACCGAUAUGCUUCGGGGAGCUGUACGUAAGCUAUGAUCCGGAGAUUUCCGAAUGGGGCAACCCAGCAGUUUUAAUCAACUGUUACCACUAGAUGAAUUCAUAGUCUAGUUGGAGGUAAACGCUGUGAACUGAAACAUCUCAUUAGCAGCAGGAAUAUAAAGAAAUUUCGAUUCCCUAAGUAGCGGCGAGCGAACGGGGAACAGCCCAAACCAAAGUGCUUGCACUUUGGGGUUGUAGGACUGAACAUUUGAGUUACCAAAGAACUUGAUAGUCGAAGGAUUUGGGAAAAUCUGCCAUAGAUGGUGAUAGCCCAGUAGAUUAAAUCAAAUUCUCUCAGUUCAGGAUCCUGAGUACGGCGGAACACGUGAAAUUCCGUCGGAAUCCGGGAGGACCAUCUCCCAAGGCUAAAUACUACCUAGUGACCGAUAGUGAACCAGUACCGUGAGGGAAAGGUGAAAAGCACCCCGGGAGGGGAGUGAAAUAGUUCCUGAAACCAUGUGCCUACAAUAAGUCAGAGCGCGUUAAUGCGUGAUGGCGUGCCUUUUGUAGAAUGAACCGGCGAGUUAUGAUCCCGUGCAAGGUUAAGACUAAAAAGUCGGAGCCGUAGCGAAAGCGAGUCUGAAAUGGGCGAUUUGAGUACGAGGUUAUAGACCCGAAACCAGGUGACCUAUCCAUGUCCAGGUUGAAGGUGCGGUAAAACGCACUGGAGGACCGAACCCGUGUAAGUUGAAAAUUGCUGGGAUGAGGUGUGGAUAGCGGUGAAAUUCCAAACGAACUUGGAGAUAGCUGGUUCUCUCCGAAAUAGCUUUAGGGCUAGCCUCGGAUUAAGGAUCAUGGAGGUAGAGCACUAUUUGGACUAGGGGCCCGUCUUGGGUUACUGAAUCCAGAUAAACUCCGAAUGCCAUUGAUUCAUGUCCGGGAGUCAGACGAUGAGUGAUAAGAUCCACCGUCGAAAGGGGAACAGCCCAGACCAUCAGUUAAGGUCCCUAAAUGUAUGCUAAGUGGAAAAGGAUGUGGAGUUGCAUAGACAACUAGGAUGUUGGCUCAGAAGCAGCCACCAUUUAAAGAGUGCGUAAUAGCUCACUAGUCGAGUGAUCCUGCGCCGAAAAUGUACCGGGGCUAAGCAUACUACCGAAACCAUGGAUGCGACCAUUAGGUCGCGUGAUAGGAGAGCGUUCUAAGGGCGGUGAAGCAAGAUCGUGAGGACUUGUGGAGCGCUUAGAAGUGAGAAUGCCGGUAUGAGUAGCGAAAGAUAGGUGAGAAUCCUAUCCACCGAAUGACUAAGGUUUCCUGGGGAAGGCUCGUCCUCCCAGGGUUAGUCGGGACCUAAGUCGAGGCCGAGAGGCGUAGACGAUGGAUAAACAGGUUGAGAUUCCUGUACUAGUUAAGUGCGUUUGAGCAAUGGAGGGACGCAGGAGGCUAAGAUGUGCAUUCUGUUGGAUUAGAAUGUCCAAGCAGUAAGUCUUGUGGAGAGUCAAAUGCUUUUCACUUUAAGGACAAGCUGUGAUGGGGAGCGAAAUUUAGUAGCGAAGCGUCUGAUGUCACACUGCCGAGAAAAGCUUCUAGUGAGUACUUAACUACCCGUACCGCAAACCGACACAGGUAGUCGAGGAGAGAAUCCUAAGGUGAGCGAGUGAACUCUCGUUAAGGAACUCGGCAAAAUGACCCCGUAACUUCGGGAGAAGGGGUGCUGAUCGCAAGAUCAGCCGCAGUGAAUAGGCCCAGGCGACUGUUUAUCAAAAACACAGGUCUCUGCAAAAUCGUAAGAUGACGUAUAGGGGCUGACGCCUGCCCGGUGCUGGAAGGUUAAAAGGAUGGGUUAGCUUCGGCGAAGCUCAGAAUUGAAGCCCCAGUAAACGGCGGCCGUAACUAUAACGGUCCUAAGGUAGCGAAAUUCCUUGUCGGGUAAGUUCCGACCCGCACGAAAGGCGUAACGAUCUGGGCACUGUCUCAACGAGAGACUCGGUGAAAUUAUAUUGUCCGUGAAGAUGCGGACUACCCGCGACAGGACGGAAAGACCCCAUGGAGCUUUACUGUAGCUUGAUAUUGAGUGUUUGUACAGCUUGUACAGGAUAGGUAGGAGCCAUAGAAACCGGAACGCUAGUUUCGGUGGAGGCGUUGGUGGGAUACUACCCUCGCUGUAUGACCACUCUAACCCGCACCACUAAUCGUGGUGGGAGACAGUGUCAGGUGGGCAGUUUGACUGGGGCGGUCGCCUCCUAAAAAGUAACGGAGGCGCCCAAAGGUUCCCUCAGAAUGGUUGGAAAUCAUUCGCAGAGUGUAAAGGCACAAGGGAGCUUGACUGCGAGACAGACAGGUCGAGCAGGGACGAAAGUCGGGCUUAGUGAUCCGGUGGUACCGUAUGGAAGGGCCAUCGCUCAACGGAUAAAAGCUACCCUGGGGAUAACAGGCUUAUCUCCCCCAAGAGUCCACAUCGACGGGGAGGUUUGGCACCUCGAUGUCGGCUCAUCGCAUCCUGGGGCUGUAGUCGGUCCCAAGGGUUGGGCUGUUCGCCCAUUAAAGCGGUACGCGAGCUGGGUUCAGAACGUCGUGAGACAGUUCGGUCCCUAUCCGUCGCGGGCGUAGGAAAUUUGAGAGGACCUGUCCUUAGUACGAGAGGACCGGGAUGGACAUACCUCUGGUGUACCAGUUGUGCCGCCAGGCGCAUCGCUGGGUAGCUACGUAUGGAUGUGAUAAACGCUGAAAGCAUCUAAGUGUGAAACACACCUCGAGAUGAGAUUUCCCAUUCCUUUAUGGAAGUAAGACCCCUGAAAGAUGAUCAGGUAGAUAGGUUAGAAGUGGCAGUGCGGUGACGCAUGAAGCGGACUAAUACUAAUCGGUCGAGGACUUAACCAA
rnacentral:rRNA from 1 species